rnacentral:rRNA from 1 species
GCGGCAACAGCUCAAAUUUGAAAUCUGGUCCCCCCGCGGGGCCCGAGUUGUAAUUUGAAGAGGAUGCUUCUGGCAAGGUGCCGUCCGAGUUCCCUGGAACGGGACGCCGCAGAGGGUGAGAGCCCCGUACGGUCGGACGCCGAGCCUCUGUGAAGCUCCUUCGACGAGUCGAGUAGUUUGGGAAUGCUGCUCAAAAUGGGAGGUAAACCCCUUCUAAAGCUAAAUACUGGCCAGAGACCGAUAGCGCACAAGUAGAGUGAUCGAAAGAUGAAAAGCACUUUGAAAAGAGAGUUAAAAAGCACGUGAAAUUGUUGAAAGGGAAGCGCUUGCGACCAGACUCGCGCCCGUCGGAUCAGCCGUCGCUCGUCGGCGGCGCACUCCGGCGGGCUCGGGCCAGCAUCAGUUCGCCUCGGGGGGAGAAAGGCGGUAGGAAUGUGGCUCUUCGGAGUGUUAUAGCCUGCCGUGUAAUACCCCCGGGCGGACUGAGGACCGCGCGUAUGCAAGGAUGCUGGCGUAAUGGUCGUCAGCGACCCGUCUUGAAACACGGACCC